CCAUCGAGAGCACCCCAGGACUGGUAGGUCCCUGCCUGAUGCAGAGAUUUUAUUACAUGAACACCAGACUCCUCAGCUAUGUGGUCCUUUGUCUCUUGAGAGCAGAUCCUAUGGAAACCCAAGUGACCCAGAUCCCAAGACACUUCAUCACCAAGACUGGAAAGAAGUUGACUGUGACCUGUUCCCAGAAUAUGAACCAUGAUGCUAUGUAUUGGUAUCGAAAAGAUCCAGGAUUGGGUCUAAAGCUGAUCUACUAUUCAAUUAAUACUGACAACACCAAUGAGGGAGACAUCCCUGGUGGGUACAAAGUCUCUCGAAAAGAGAAGAAGAAUUUUCCCCUGACACUGGAGUCAACCAGCAUCAACCAGAGCUCCGUGUACUUCUGUGCUAGCAGUUAUAAAGACAGGCCGAACACUGAAGUUUUCUUUGGAAAAGGCACCAGACUCACAGUUCUAGAGGAUCUGAGCAAGGUGAGCCCACCCACGGUCAACGUGUUUGAGCCAUCCGAAGCAGAGAUCUACCAGAAACAGAAGGCUACCCUCGUGUGCCUGACCACAGGCUUCUACCCCGACCACGUGGAGCUGACCUGGUGGGUGAACGGGAAGGAGGUGAACAGCGGGGUCAGCACGGACCCUCAGCCCUACCAGGAGAACCCCAACAUCAGCGACUCCACCUACUGCCUGAGCAGCCGCCUGAGGGUCUCAGCUGCCUUCUGGCACAAUCCUCGCAACCACUUCCGCUGCCAAGUGCAGUUCUUUGGGCUGACGGCGGAAGAUGAGUGGACCCAGGAGAAGGCCAAACCCGUCACCCAGAACGUCAGUGCUGAGAUGCAGGGCAGGGCAGAUUGUGGCUUCACCUCAGCAACCUAUCAGCAAGGGGUCCUGUCGGCCACCAUCCUCUAUGAGAUCCUCUUGGGGAAGGCCACCCUGUAUGCUGUGCUCGUCAGCACUCUUGUCCUGAUGGCCAUGGUCAAGAAGAAGAAUUCCUGAGGCUAGCUGCUGUGGAUUCUGUGCCUGCUCUCUGAUAAUCUGUGUUUAAGAAAUUCUUCUCUCUCCCCUUCCAUGCUGUGUUCCACACACUGAGUUCCCAGCUGUGAAUCUGCUGCAGAAGAAACUAAUAAAAUAAAAUAAAAAAAGUUGAGCUGAGA